UACGAAGGGGGCUCGCGUUGUUCGGAAUCACUGGGCGUAAAGGGCGCGUAGGCGGCUAUGCAAGUCAGGCGUGAAAGCCCCGGGCUCAACCCGGGAAUUGCGCUUGAUACUGUGUGGCUUGAGUCCGGGAGAGGAUGGCGGAAUUCCCAGUGUAGAGGUGAAAUUCGUAGAUAUUGGGAAGAACACCGGUGGCGAAGGCGGCCAUCGGGACCGGUACUGACGCUGAGGCGCGAAAGUGUGGGGAGCAAACAGG
rnacentral:rRNA from 1 species